rnacentral:lncRNA from 1 species
GUCUGGAUUUUUUUUCUACCACUGUUAUGGCUAUAAAUUGAAUAUUGACAAUUUUUUUUAUGGUCAUGCACCGAGUUACUGCUAUUUCAAUGAGUUUAUUCAACGAUCUCAAGAUAAAUGAAUUAUGUAGAAUCAACAGGAUUCAGAAAAUAUAAAUUCAAUUAUUUAUGAUUCACUCGUAUUCUUCCCAAAAAGACAUGAGUCAAAGAGGUUGUCAUUCGAUACAAUGUUCUUU